AUUGAACGCUGGCGGCAUGCCUUACACAUGCAAGUCGAACGGCAGCACGGGAGCAAUCCUGGUGGCGAGUGGCGAACGGGUGAGUAAAGUAUCGGAACGUGCCCAGUCGUGGGGGAUAACGUAGCGAAAGUUACGCUAAUACCGCAUACGAUCUAUGGAUGAAAGCGGGGAUCGCAAGACCUCGCGCGACUGGAGCGGCCGAUAUCAGAUUAGGUAGUUGGUGGGGUAAAGGCUCACCAAGCCGACGAUCUGUAGCUGGUCUGAGAGGACGACCAGCCACACUGGGACUGAGACACGGCCCAGACUCCUACGGGAGGCAGCAGUGGGGAAUUUUGGACAAUGGGCGAAAGCCUGAUCCAGCCAUGCCGCGUGCAGGAUGAGGGCCUUCGGGUUGUAAACUGCUUUUGUACGGAACGAAAAGGUUUGGCCUAAUAAGCUGAGCUCAUGACGGUACCGUAAGAAUAAGCACCGGCUAACUACGUGCCAGCAGCCGCCGUAA
rnacentral:rRNA from 1 species